GACGAACGCUGGCGGUGUGCUUAACACAUGCAAGCCGAACGGUAAGGCCCUUCGGGGUACACGAGUGGCGAACGGGUGAGUAACACGUGGGUGAUCUGCCCUGCACUUCGGGAUAAGCCUGGGAAACUGGGUCUAAUACCGGAUAGGACUCCGGACUGCAUGGUCUGGGGUGGAAAGCUUUUGCGGUGUGGGAUGGGCCCGCGGCCUAUCAGCUUGUUGGGGGGGUGAUGGCCUACCAAGGCGACGACGGGUAGCCGGCCUGAGAGGGUGACCGGCCACAAUGGGACUGAGAUACGGCCCAGACUCCUACGGGAGGCAGCAGUGGGGAAUAUUGCACAAUGGGCGCAAGCCUGAUGCAGCGACGCCGCGUGAGGGAUGACGGCCUUCGGGUUGUAAACCUCUUUCAGCACAGACGAAGCGCAAGUGACGGUAUGUGCAGAAGAAGGACCGGCCAACUACGUGCCAGCCGCCGCGGUAA
rnacentral:rRNA from 1 species